GCCAGAGUGGUGGAAUUGGCAGACGCGCCGGACUCAAAAUCCGGUCCCCAAUUGCGGGGGUGUGGGUUCGACUCCCACCUCUGGCA
rnacentral:tRNA from 1 species